GUAUUCGCUCUGGCAGCACAUAAACUAAAAUUGGAACGAUAUGGAGAAUAUUAGUGUGGCCCCUGCACAAGGAUGACACAUGAUCCAUGUUUUCAUAUGUGGAAUCUUUUA
rfam:Myotis davidii contig185484, whole genome shotgun sequence.